CAGGGAGCCAGGGAGGAGCACACAGAACCCUCUCUCAGAGGCCAGGAGGAUGGGGCCCUCGGGAGAGGGCACAGGACGCCCACUACAGUGAGGUGGCAGUUGCAUACCCAUCUCCUGGCCACAGAGACCCUCACCUGGGCCUGGGGGAACACUACCCCCUCUCUCCUGACCCAAGCCACUCCCCAGCGCCGGUGCUGCUGUGACAGGUACUGCCCCCGCAAACCCAACCGGAAACACACCAGAGAGGCGGAGUAUGCAUGCCUCUGGUGUGAACACGAUCGUGAAGUGCCCUGGUGCUGACCUCUAGAGCUUGAGCAGCACCACACGCACCACCACCAGGAAUGCAGGAACCCAGGGGGCUCCCCCAGCGUGAUGUUCUUCUCCCAUCGGAUCUGCACGGAGAGGGAAGGCAGAGGCUUCCUAAACCUUCGUGAGCAGCUGGCAUCUGACAGACGCACAUCCAUCCGUGGAGGACCACAGACGGCCAACGUGGCAGGUCACUGGAGAGCCCUCCAGACUGCGGAGCUCACGCCACCCCACCCUCCUCACCACCAAGGGGCUGUGGGAGCCUGGCCAGACCCCUGGGGUCGGAGCAGGGGCCACAAAAGGCUGGGGUGGAGAGAUGCCAGCAAUGGACAGCAAGACGAGAGCCCAGGGAGGCUGCCCAGGGCAAGGGAAGGGCAGUAGGACAGGGCAGCAUGGGGACAGGUCCUGCUACGCUGCAUUCCAGCCAGCCCGCCCCCACAAGGGGCAGCUCUCCUGGGCACAGGAUAGUCCUGCAGGAGGUCCUGGCUCUUCAGCAGGUCCACUGAGUGUCCCUACGGUGUCCUCUGCCAUCCCCUGUUCACAGACUUGUCUGGUGGCGGUAGUGUCUGACAGUGUCCCACCAGGGUGCCCACCCCGCCCACUCCCACACCCUCCACCCCAGGCCACCUCGUGCCCUCUCCCUGGUGGCCUCCCUUCCUGGUCUGAAGACAUCUAGUGAUGCCCCCAAACAGCUGGGCCCACCUCCAGCUGGCCUCCACUCAGCCUCCACUUUCCAACUGGCAGCCAGAGGCCAGCAGCCCAGCGCUGUCCUCCCCACCACCUGCCCCAUCCCGGUCACUGUGUCUGCCCUCACUUGAUGCCUUUCACUCCCCCACUAGUCCGCAGAACACAUGCUAUCAACUCAGCACCCCCCAAAUUCAAAGGUGCCCCUGGCCUAGACCUGGUUGAGUGGAACUCACAGAGGAGUGUGCUGUGGGGCUCCUCAUCCACACCCCAACAUCACUGCCUUCACUACAUUAAGAACAAAAACAAAGCGGGCAUGGUGGCGUGGUGGCCCGUUGUCCCCGCUGACCAAAGGCUGGGACAGGAUGGCUCAAGGCGGGAUCAGGGCUGGCCUGGGUCACAUGACGAGACCCCAGCUCCAACUAACAAAACCUAAGAGAGGCGAUCUCUCCUCACACCCCCGCCACAUACCCAGUCCAGGUCUCUCACCAGGAUCAUGGCAGGGGCUGCGUCCUCCUGGGCACCUCUGUGCACCCCUGCCACUCCUCAUCAGACCCUCCAGGUCUCCCCAACACAUAAGCUGGCUGCCCUCCCACCCCAGGGCCUUCACACAGGCUGCAAUCUCCUUGGCCACUUCCAUCCAGACCCCAGUGUCACAGAUCAGAGGCUUCCCUGCGACAUCCAGUCCCAUUCUGCUCCAUUCCCCAUCAGCCCCUUUACUGCCAUUUGCUGCAGCUCCCUGCCAGCUGCUGCAGACCCUCUGGAAUGUGGCUUUGAGGGGCUGAGGACUAGCAGGCCCUGGCCUCCAGCUUAGUAAUGGGCAAGGGUCCUGGAGCUGGAUCCAAAUCCCCAGCUACUCCCAGGACUGCCUGCGGGACUUCAGAGCCCCUGCCCCACCCCAGGGCUCCCUGAGGGCAGGUAGACAGGAGGCAGCAGUGGAGGCCCAGGGGAGAGGACGCUCCAGGCUUGGAGCAGAGUCGCAGGCAGUUCUUCAUCACUCUGAGGGGAGGGGUGACCAUUGGGGACCUAUAGCAUGCACAGAGCUGACCGGCAUGGGAACAGAGUGCAGUAUUACUGCCCUGUGGACUAAAAUGGGCCACCAACCACCACAAUUAUCCACAACUACCACAAUCGUGGAGAAUAUUUGUAAUUAUCGAGAAUUACUAUGAUGGGGGCCCCUACCCAGCAUCCCCUUGGACGUACACUCUGCUGGGGGCUGAGAAACGCCCUCUACGCCUCAGGCUCAGGUCUUCAUUGAGUCCAUCACCAAAUUCCACUGUGGCUCCAAAGUGACCCUCCAACUCGGAGUCCUCCCACCCUCUGCCAGCCCUGGGGGCCUGACCUUCAGCAGUAUCUUGUCACCGAUCCCACCAUUCCCUGGCUUUUCUCUGUGACUCAUGUCCUCCCCAGUUGGAGGGCUUCAUCUCAGGGUUCCUUCCUUGA